rnacentral:rRNA from 1 species
UACGGAGGGUGCAAGCGUUGCUCGGAAUUAUUGGGCGUAAAGGGUAGGUAGGUGGUCUCAUUUGUCAGGGGUGAAAUCCUUGGGCUUAACUCAAGAAGUGCCCCUGAAACGGUGAGACUAGAGUGCUGGAGAGGGUCGUGGAAUUCCCGGUGUAGCGGUGAAAUGCGUAGAGAUCGGGAGGAACACCAGAGGCGAAGGCGGCGACCUGGACAGUGACUGACACUCAACUACGAAAGCGUGGGGAGCAAACAGG